CAAGGUAAGUUCCCAUGAAGAACGCUCCAUCAGAAAGUUAUAUAUCUUUACUUUAUGAUUGGAUUGUACUGACAUACAAGUUGGGUUCAAAACUUACAAUUUAUACAUUUUCUCCUUCAUUAAGCAAGGAAGGCUGUCAACUUUUAUCCAAGUUCAUUCGAGGUACAAAAGAAUGCGAUGGGUUAUAGACUAAUUCUUGCAACUUCAAAAAUGACUAAGACCAGAGCCAUUAACCAAUCUACAUAUGCAAUCAUGCGGUGAAAAAGACAUGUAGAUGGACUCCUGGAUGAUAAGGAUCGAAUCUACAGAUCAUGAGGUCAUAUCAUUAAUAUCUGAGGCAAAAAGGCAAAGUCAAAUGAAGGACACUUUGUUUUCAAAACCAGAUUCUAAAACUUAUGGAAAAAAAGUAGGAGAUGUUGAUGUCCAAGCCUCCAGACAAAGAUGAUGAGAAAUCGCAUCAAGGAGUAGAAGAAAGAAGCAGUCUUUAUUGCAUAGGAACUUUGAUAUAUGUAACAUUUGUCUAGAAUCCGAAGGUAAUACAGAAAUUUAUUUAUUUAGACAACUGGCAUGAGAUCAAAACCGUUAAGAAUCUUCUCAAAGUUUCUUCAAUUCAAAUAAUUGUUCCUUAGUUUACAAAUAAUCUAGACAAAUAAUUAGAGAAAUCUUCUUGAAAGAGGCUCAAGCAUGAAAUCUGAAGACCAAUCACUACCUUAUUGUAAGGCAUUCUAAAAUCAUAGAAAACAAAAUUAAACCUCUGAAACUCCCCUAGACUUGAAAAGAAUCUUACAAAAAAAAAAGAGGCAAAAGAAAAGAUUUGAGUGUACAUGUACAUGUACACGAUCCUGUAAUAUCCUCAAGAGUAGAUUAGAAUGGUAUUUUUCCGCUGGACAACAUUGCAGCAUAUGAACAUGGCCGUGCUACCCUUUUCCUAGUUGGGGUUCAUUAUGUACUCAACGUAGAGAAGAAACAGUGGUGUUGUUAGAUCACAAGUUAUCUGAUGCAAUUUAGAACUAAUCUGAUCCAAAAGCCUAACAAAGGGAGCUACCAAUUAAUGAAUCGUAACAGGACAAAGCAUAUUGUUGUGUAUAAGUUCAUAUAUAGUCUUAUUAAUUUC
rnacentral:lncRNA from 1 species